GUUUAAACCUGUUCCUUCUUGUCAAGCCACAACUGCACAGCUUUGUAAGCACUGAGGGGAAAGAAAAACUGAAUCUUUAAAGCUUCUCUUCUCAUUUCUGAACAGGCAGAAGAAACACUAUGAAAAUGGAUAGCCACGAUCUUGCAGUCACAAUUAAUCACUGCGCAUAUGAGCUACGUCAAGUUGGAGAUGGACUUCACUGGAGAUACAAACUGCUGGAAAUACUGAUCAAGAACUACAAGACUGUUACUAAAAUCAAGUGAGACAUGUUCGUCAAAGUACAUGAAAGAGGAAUUGGAUUUUGCUUAACUGGAUGGCAUUCAGAGCCAAAGCAGAAGAGUCUUGGAUAUGGACUCAUCACUGGAGGUUAAAUGGUGGCUCUCAAGUGGGAUGUAAGCUCCUGGAAACACCCUGAUGGAGACAUGGACAAAUGUUAGGGAUGCUGUUGAUCCACCGAUUCAGAGCCAUGGGUGACUGGAACCAAAGUGGAAUAUCUGGAAUAUCUGAAUGGAAGUUAUUUGCUGAAAGAUGAUUCUUAUCACAUGUAUAGGCUACAUACUUCUGUAUACAUGGACAUGUAUGAAUGUUAUGCUUUAUCAGCCUGUCACAUGUAUGUUAACUGAAGAAUUGAGACUUAGUUACUUAUCUAUUCAAGUUGCUAAUUAAAGAUUCAUAUUCAAUAAAUCUAGAAUCUGGUUGUGUGUUUUAUAGUGGUGAAUACCAAUGAAUGUAAGGCUGCAAUUAAUUCCAUGCCAUUUAAAGGAAUAGUUUGACAUUUUAGGAAAUAAGCGUAUUUGCUUUCCUGCUGUGAGUUAGAUGAGAAGAUACAAGUGAAUAGGCAUAUUUCCUAAAAUGUCAAACUAAUUCUUUAAUGUGUUGAUUAUUUCUCCAAUUAAUCCUUUAGUGACAAAUAGUCAUAACUUCCCAAAUCCGAAGGUAACAUCCUCAAAUAGCUUGCUUUGCUGAUUAACAGUAAAAAGCCCAAACAUAUUCAGUUUACAGUGAUAUAAAAAGCAGCAAAUCCUAUUUAAAAAAAAAAAAAACAGAACACAAGGCUGCAAUUUUUGCUUAAUAAAUGACUUACACAAUUAAACAAUUAUCAAAAUUGCUAGUUUUCUGUCAAUUGGCUAAUCCAUCAUUUCAGCACUAGAUGAAUCUGAUAAAGCUGCAUCAGACUAAGCACCUUACAUUAUUUGUAUAACUGUGUAUGAUCAUUUAUGGGACUAUUUAACAGAUGGAAUGGGAGAAAAACAGAUGGAAUAAAAACAACAGCAAAACAGUGCUAAAUUCAGGCACUUAAAGGAUCCUUACUUUAUUUUGUGUGGUAAUACAAAAGCAUACAGAAUUAUAGAGGAUAGGAGAGAAGAUCCCUUUCAUUGAAUUCCAUUAGAUCAUACACGUAAAAUGACUAAUUACAUACAAGCCUUUUCUCUUUAGCUACAUCCACAAGUACCCCAGCCCUCCACCAAUAGCAUGCAUGGUCUCUUUGCUCUAAACAAAUCUCAACAGUUCUUCAUACCUAUUGGUAUUUUGUUGGUAGAAAAAAGAAGACAGAACUAGAAGUAUGCCAUGAAACAAUAGGUGAUGUAACUUCACACACAGAUCACACUCAUUAGACCAGAAUGUUUACAGCCGUCCUUUUAUAUUGAAAUGGAAGCGUUCCCAGAUCUGCAGUGAAGCAUGACUGGAGACAGUUUUUGUUCCAAUAGAUUGAAUGUUGUUGAACAGCUUCACUCUUUAACAACGAUUCAUCUGGGGUCCAAGUAACCUACCCAUCAUCUGCAUGUAGGAAAAAUAUAACAUGCCCCGCAUGGGCCUAUCAGAUAGAAAUAACACCUAAUUAUGACAUGACAUACAAACUGAGAGACACAAUGUAUAAGAUU